rnacentral:ncRNA from 2 species
GCUUGUCGUUAGGAGUGCUGCGGGAAUGCGGCUGAGAUGAGAUCCUGACUACCUGAUCUGGAUAAAACCAGCGUAGGGAAACGACAGAUUUUACCU